UUGUGCCCUAGGAGACUGAAUUCCUCUUUUUUAUUCACAGAACGGGUACAGGAGAGGCAGCAGCAGUAAUGCAAAUUUCCACUCACCAUAUCAUCAGUGUGCCCCAACCAUGACUUGGAAAGUCCACUUUAGGGAGGAUUCAACUUCCAUGCUGAUUUAACUAUUAGUAAGU
rnacentral:sRNA from 1 species